CAGCCGCCGCGGUAAUACCGGCGGCCCGAGUGGCGGCCACUAUUAUUGGGCUUAAAGCGUCCGUAGCCGGGUUGGUUAGUCUCCCGGGAAAUCUGGCCGCUUAACGGUCAGAAUUCCGGGGGAUACUGCCAGCCUAGGGACCGGGAGAGGCCGGGGGAAUUCCCGGGGUAGGGGUGAAAUCCUAUAAUCCCGGGAGGACCACCUGUGGCGAAGGCGCCCGGCUGGAACGGGUCCGACGGUGAGGGACGAAGGCCAGGGGAGCGAACCGGAUUAGAUACCCGGGUAGUCCUGGCUGUAAACGAUGCGGGCUAGGUGUCGGGCCAGCCACGAGCUGGCCCGGUGCCGGAGGGAAGCCGUUAAGCCCGCCGCCUGGGGAGUACGGCCGCAAGGCUGAAACUUAAAGGAAUUGGCGGG
rnacentral:rRNA from 1 species